CAUGGCAAUCAAUUGAUGUCACUCACGGUAUGGAAGACUAGUGAUUUUGUUGUUGUUGCUAGCUUACAAACAAAAAAUCACAGUCAUCCAUUACUGUGUGUGAAAAUGACAACAAAACACAA
rnacentral:pre_miRNA from 14 species